CCCCUCCCCCUCCCUCCCCCCCCACCACCGCGACAUCCCCCAGGGAGGGAAGGAUGCGUGUGGGAAUCCUACCACCCUGCUGCGCCUUUGCAUCCAAAGGGAAGGAGACGCAGCCGCUAAACACAGCUCUCAGCAUCACCCCCGGCCCCUCCCUCGCCACCCCCGGCGUGGCACAGGCGAAGUCUCACCUAGAGGAUGGCAACUAAAGAGGAACGAUAACAACCACCAGAAAACAACCCUACACCAACCACCAAACCCAUCCCUUGGGCUCGCUCCUCCUUAAGGCAUCUCAGCAGCAGGUGGGGAUGGGUCCGGGGAGGUGGGGGGGGGGUCCAAGUCCGCUGCUCUGCUGGGAUGGUCACCCCCUCUAGGGGUAUUGAUUCCUUCUGGAGAGCCACAUCCUUGCUUUGAACCUUCAGCAAGGGGGAUGAGGCUGAUCCUGCCCAAUUCCUUCCCCCUCCCUUUCUCAUCUCCCAACCUCACUCGGAUGCUGUUCGCAUCUCCUGGGGUGGGACACGCAGGGACCGCAGAUGUUGCCCUGGCCCCCGCCGGCUGUUCAGCCGCAGCCAUGCACGGCUAAAGAGGUCAGCUUGCUUUUAAGCACGUCGCCGAGCAUCUCCAUCUCCAUCCCAGCUGCCAGGGUACCCAGAGGAGCCGGUGGGGAUGAAGCUUUCACCGCGGCGCCUGAAGAUGUCGAGAGAGGACGCGGGGAGGGUCGCUAGGGUGGAGGAUGCGGGAUCGGCGGAGCAGGGUUCGAAGGGAUGCUCCGACUUGGGAGCUGGGAGGGGGUGGGGGGGGGGGAGGUUUUAUCUGCGGUGUAAAGGGGCUGGGAGAAGAUGAGGGCUCCUAUUUUUGGCGCUGGGAAGCGUGUCUAGCUCUGCCUGUCGUCCUUCCAUCUGCCACGUCUGGCUCGUCGGGAUGCUGGAGCCCCCGGGGGAGCUUUGGGAAGUCGGAUGAUUGUGGUUUAGGGUUUGUCUAGUGUUCUUUUUCCUCCCCCCACCCUGUCCCUCCCCCCCUUCCCCACUCCCUUUGCUGAUGAGAGUAGAAAUGUUCCAGCUCCUUUUUUUUUUGGCUGUUGCAAUUCUUUCUCCAUACCUUCUCCUUGGAAAAGCUGGGAGUGGAGGACACACAAACACACACACCAGUGUGUCCCCCCUCAAAGGUAGCCUUUUGGUCCCCUGGGGCGGGGGAGGAUGCUGAGCAAAGGCAUCCUGCCUGUCUGCUCCUAUAAAUGUCACAGUUGGUGGGAAACAAAGGAGGAGGAGUGAGGGGAAAGGAAAAAAUCCAACCCCAAAUCCUUCUAACCUGUAAUAAAAGGAAGAUGCUAAUAAAGAUACUGUUGGUGCUGCACUGAAA